GUGGACGCCAGUCUGCGUGGAGCCGACCUUGAAAUACCACCCUUUAAUGUUUGAUGUUCUAACGUGGACCCGUAAUCCGGGUUGCGGACAGUGUCUGGUGGGUAGUUUGACUGGGGCGGUCUCCUCCUAAAGAGUAACGGAGGAGCACGAAGGUUGGCUAAUCCUGGUCGGACAUCAGGAGGUUAGUGCAAUGGCAUAAGCCAGCUUGACUGCGAGCGUGACGGCGCGAGCAGGUGCGAAAGCAGGUCAUAGUGAUCCGGUGGUUCUGAAUGGAAGGGCCAUCGCUCAACGGAUAAAAGGUACUCCGGGGAUAACAGGCUGAUACCGCCCAAGAGUUCAUAUCGACGGCGGUGUUUGGCACCUCGAUGUCGGCUCAUCACAUCCUGGGGCUGAAGUAGGUCCCAAGGGUAUGGCUGUUCGCCAUUUAAAGUGGUACGCGAGCUGGGUUUAGAACGUCGUGAGACAGUUCGGUCCCUAUCUGCCGUGGGCGCUGGAGAACUGAGGGGGGCUGCUCCUAGUACGAGAGGACCGGAGUGGACGCAUCACUGGUGUUCGGGUUGUCAUGCCAAUGGCACUGCCCGGUAGCUAAAUGCGGAAGAGAUAAGUGCUGAAAGCAUCUAAGCACGAAACUUGCCCCGAGAUGAGUUCUCCCUGAGACUUAGAGUCUCCUGAAGGAACGUUGAAGACGACGACGUUGAUAGGCCGGGUGUGUAAGCGCAGCGAUGCGUUGAGCUAACCGGUACUAAUGAACCGUGAGGCUUAAC
rnacentral:rRNA from 1 species